UGUUUAUUGAAUAAUAUCCUAGUUCCUGCUUUACUGCAAAGAAACUGUGAAAAUGCUGAUGUCAAGUAUUAAUGAAAGUGUUUAUUCGUCAAGAAGCAUGUGCAGAAUUCAAGUUUGUGAAUAAUUUGAAAAAGCAGUUAAAAAUCAGGACCAAUUAGCAUCCAAGAAAUAGCCAAAGCAGAAUUGUUCUUCAUAUGAGAAACACAAAAUUAAUGCUUUGGUGAGGACAUCCACCAACUAUUACACCAUGGAAUGGUCUUAUAUAAAAGUUCUAGAAAUAAAUGCUGAGGUGAUGCAAGUGUUACAUCAGCAUACAGAUACAGAAGAUAAUGAUUUCAUCAGAUGAUUUAAGUAUAAUAUUAUAUUACUUCUGCUACGAAAGAGAUGGUGUUGAUUACAAUAAAAGUGCAGUUAUGCUGCUACAUCCACAGUUUACUGUGACCUCCCAGAAAUUGUUAACAAUAUUCAUAAUGAGUCACACUGUAUACAUUACUAAUUAAACUCUAACAUAUUUAUAAAUAUUACACAAAUAUCACAUUACACAAAUUUUGUGAUUAUUCCCAUUUAACACUGGAAUGUACUAGUGCAGAGUGUCUUAAACUGCAGGCCAUGACUCCCAUGGGGGGUCGUCAAAAAUUUUAGCAUUUUGAUAUUUCUGUAACUUAUAAUAAUUUUACAAUUACCAAAUAUUUUUACACAAUGUAUCUGAAAAUAGCUAAAGAUAAGCCAAUACAAAGA